rnacentral:rRNA from 1 species
UACGGAGGGUGCGAGCGUUACUCGGAUUCACUGGGCGUAAAGGGUGCGCAGGCGGUUAAUUGUGUCAGGUGUGAAACCCCAGAGCUUAACUCUGGAACUGCGCCUGAAACUGAUUGACUAGAGGCUCGGAGAGGUAAGCGGAAUUCCAGGAGUAGCGGUGAAAUGCGUAGAUAUCGGAAGGAACACCAGUGGCGAAGGCGGCUACCUGGCCCAAUACUGACACUGAGGCACGAAAGCGUGGGGAGCAAACAGG